GCUGGCUCGCGGGCUUUGGCGACUCUGGGUCUGCGCUGCCGCGCGCGUAGGUGUUUGCCUUAGAAAUGCAGCGGGAUUUAGUGAGUUUUCCUUUGUCCCCGUCUGUGCGGGUGAAGCUGGUGUCUGCAGGUUUCCAGACUGCUGAGGAACUCCUAGAGGUGAAACCUUCCGAGCUCAGCAAAGAAGUUGGAAUAUCUAAAGAGGAAGCCUUAGAAACUCUGCAAAUUAUAAGAAGAGAAUGUCUCACAAAUAAAACGAGAUAUCCUGGUACAGCUGAGUCAGGCAAGAAGUAUACAGCACUGGAACUUCUUGAGCAGGAGCAUACCCAGAACUUCAUAAUUACCUUCUGUUCAGCAUUAGAUAAUAUUCUUGGGGGUGGAAUACCCUUAACCAAAACAACAGAGAUUUGUGGUGCACCAGGUGUUGGAAAAACACAAUUAUGUAUGCAGUUGGCAAUAGAUGUGCAGAUACCAGAAUGUUUUGGAGGAGUGGAAGGUGAAGCAGUUUUUAUUGAUACAGAGGGAAGUUUUAUGGUUGAUAGAGUGGUAGACCUUGCUACUGCCUGUAUUCAGCAUCUACAGCUUAUAGCAGGAACACAGAUGGCAGAAGAGCACCCAGAAGCUUUGCAGGAUUUCACUCUUGAAAAUAUUCUUUCCCAUAUUUAUUAUUUUCGUUGUCAUGACUACACAGAGUUACUGGCACAAGUUUAUCUCCUUCCAGACUUCCUUUCAGAACACCCAAAGGUUCGAUUAGUGAUAGUGGAUGGUAUUGCCUUUCCUUUUCGUCAUGACCUAGAUGACCUAUCCCUUCGUACUCGAUUACUGAAUGGCCUAGCCCAGCAACUGAUCAGCCUUGCAAAUAAUCACAGAUUAGCUGUAAUUUUAACCAAUCAGAUGACAACAAAGAUUGAUAGAAAUCAGGCUUUGCUGGUUCCUGCAUUGGGGGAAAGUUGGGGACAUGCUGCUACAAUACGGCUAAUCUUUCAUUGGGACCAAAAGCAAAGGUUGGCAACAUUGUACAAAUCACCAAGCCAGAAGGAAUCUACAGUACUAUUUCAAAUCACACCUCAGGGAUUUCGAGAUGCUGUUGUUGCUACUGAAUGUUCAUUGCGAACAGAAGGUUCAUUGAAUUCCCGGAAGCGGUCACGAGACUCAGAGGAAGAACAGAAAUCCAAAGACUAGUCUCAAAGUAUACGUGUAUAUUGAUGCUAUGAGAGAUGCAAUGUAUACAGGCCUACCGGAGUGACAUUACCCUGCAGCUCUAAGUGGAGGUUCUGCCCCUGAGACUGCUGGGAGGCAGAGGCCAUCUAGCCUGUUGAAGAUGAGGCAGUGGCCCUGAAGACUUCUGAAUGUCCUUCAGGGUCAUUUUUCCCUCUUCUUGAAGGAUAGCCCAUGUUUGUAGAAAAAUAGCUCUUAUCCAGUCCUCUCUAAUCCAAGAAGUCUGUCAGCCUUCUUUCAUUUUGUCCUGUCUCUGUCCUCUUCAGUUCAAACUGGCAUUACUUCUGCUCAUAUAAUCCCAUAAGCUUUUUAUGGAUUGAUGGUCCAGCCACACCCUUGAUGUUCUGUUCAGAACAUGCUGUCUUAAUUUUUUUUGCAGUAUGGAUAGGCUGAGAAUUUUCCAAAUCUUAAGGUUCUGGUUCCUUUUUGUUUAUCAAUUUCUUCUUCAUAUUUCUUAUUUUGCAUUUUACUGUAAACAGCCAGGAGGAGCCAAGCCACUCCUUCAAUACUUUGCUUAGAAACCUCCUCAGCUAAAUAGCCGGUUUCAUCACUUUUGCAUGUUCUGUCUUCCACAAAACACUAAGUUCAGCCAAGUUCUUUGCCACUUUAUAACAGAGAUCACUUUUUCUCCAGUUUCUAUUAUUGGUCUGCAUUUCCAUCUGAGAUCUCACCAGAAUCACCUUUUACAUCCGUAUUUCUAGCAUGUCCCUCCAAACUCUUCUAGCCUCCACUCAUUACUCAGUUCGAAAGCUUCUUUCACAUUUUUAGGUAUUCCUUAAAGCAACACCCCACUUCUCAAUGCUAAAAUCUGUAAUAGCUUGUGCUGUCAUAACAGAAUACCAUAGAUUGGGUGGCUUAAGGAAGUUUAUUUUCUCACAGUUCUGGAGGCUGGAAGUUUUAAGAUCGAGGUGCUAGUAGCAUGGUCAUUUCUGAUGGGGUGAGAGAUCUCUUCCAGGUUUGUAGACGGCCUCUUCCACUAUGUUCUCACAUGACAGGGUGAGAGAGAUUGAGAGCAUGAGCAAGCAGGCUUUCAGGUGUCUGUUCUUAUAAGGGUGCUAAUCCUAUCAUGAGGACCCUGCUGUUAUGACCUCAUUUAACCUUAAUUAUCUCCUAAAAGCCCUGUCUCCAAAUAUAGUCACAUUGGAGGUUAGAUCUUCAGCAUAAAAUUUUGGGGGAGACAGUUCAGUCUGUAGCACUAUAGAAAAUAAAAUAUUUACAAAAAUAUAACUUAAAAAAUUGUAACCUGCUUUAUAAAAAUCCUAAUACAUCCUCAUGUGUUCCACAUAUUUUUUCUAUGAUAGUUUUUAAUGAUUGUGCAUACUUUUAAAAUUUCUUUUUGAAGUUUGGAUUAUUACUGUGUUUUUAGUGUUAAACAGUUCUAAUAAAGCAGGUAAGUUCCUUUUUAAAGAAAUUCAAUUUGUAUUUAUUUCUUAUUGCUGCUGUAAUAAACUACCACAGAUUUGGUGGCUUAAAAGAACACAAGUCUGAAAUCAGUUUCAAAGGGCUAAAAUUGAGGUUUCAGCAGGCCUGCAUUCCUUCUGGAGGAUCUGUGGGGAGAUCUGUUUCCUUGCCUUUUCUAGCUUUUGGAGGCUGCCUACAUUCCUUAACUCAGCUUAUCUUCAAAGACAGCAGUGUAGCAUCUUCCAGUCUCUUUUUCUGUGUUUCCAUUGCCUUUUUCUUACUGUCUUUUCCUGUGUCCCUCUUAGAAGGACACUUGUGAUUACAUUUAGGGCCCCACUAGAUAAUCCAGGGUAAUCUCCCCAUCUCAAGGCCCUUAAUUUAAUCACACCUGCAAAGUCCUUUUUGCCAUGUAAAUUAACAUUCACAAAUUUCAAGGAUUAGGAAGUCACUAUUCAGCCCCUCAAAUCACGUGGCAACAUGAUUCAAGAAAUAAGGAUCCUUGGGUAAUUCAUUAAAGUUUGAAAAGCACUGGGACAGACUUGGUAUCAUUUUUUAACUGUUUUCAUAGAUGGUCAUUUCCAUUAAUGAAACUAAGUUCCUUAGCUUUUUGAAAAAUUUUUUUAAGGAGUAUUAUUCUUUCUUGAUUAUAAAAUAUAUGGUACAGGCAUACCUCAGAAAUAUUGCAGGUUUGGUACCAGACCACUGCAAUGAAGCAAACAUCAAAGCGAGUCACACAAAGUUUUUUGAUUUCCCAGUGCAUAUAAAAGUUAUAUUUACACUAUACUAUAGUCUAUUAAGUGUGCAACAGCAUUAUGUCUAAAAAAAUACAUUAAUUAAAAAUUAAAAAUAUUUUAUUGCUAAAAAAUGUGAGUCUUCAGUGAGUCAUUAUCUUUUUGCAAUAGUAAUAUCAAAGAUCACUGAUCAUAGAUCAACAAAGCAAAUAUAAUAAUAAUAUGAGAAUUACCAAAAUGUGACACAGAGACACAAAGUGAACCUUGCUGUUAGGAAAAUGGCACCAGCAGACUUGCUCAGUGACGGUUGUCACAAACCUUCAAUUUGUAAAAAACCGCAAUAUCUGUAAAGCACAAUAAAAUGAGGUAUGCCUAUAAUUUUCCAAACAUUCUUUUCUUUUCUUUUUUUUUUACAUUUUUUUAUUGAGUAAUAGUUAUUUUACAAUGUUGUGUCAAAUUGAAACAUUCUUUUCUAAUUCUAAUUUCUAAAUUUUAAUUUCUAAUUUCUAAUUCUUGAUCUUACAAACAUUUUAUCCUUUAUUGAAGUUGUAUUGUUUUUCAAAGUGUUAUGACUUUCAUUUUAAAUUUUGGGGGUGUAUAACUUAAAACAUAUUUAUAUUUAUAUAGUGCCUUACGGUUUUGAAACACUUUUACAUUAUUUAGUUGGAUCUUUCUAGCAACUCUUUAAGGUAGAUAUGAUAGGCUGGCCUGUGUGUUUUCAUUCCUUCCAUCUAUCUAUCCAUACAUCUAAUGUCUAACACAUACACAUUUAACAACUACUUGCUGAAUGAAUAAAUAUUUCAAAUAAGAUUUAUAAUAAAUUCUGUUUUUCAAAUGGUCAGGUAAGAAUACUGUUUGGUUGUGCAUAGGAUUGUGUUUCUGAGCAUUCUUUAUUGUUACAAAAUAAAUUUAUGUAAUUUAAUAGUGGUCUUUUAAAAUUUUUUUUACUUUUAAAAAUUGAGAUAAAAUAGAGAGUACUUAAAAUUUGCCAUUUUAACCAUUAAGUGUACAAUACAGUGACAUUUUUAAGUGUUGUACAACCAUCACCACUAUUCUUAAAACUUUCAUCAUCCCAAACAGAAACUCUGUAACCAUUAAGCGAUACCUCAUUGUUUCCUCCUUCUAGCUCCU